AUACUAUUACUUCCGUCCCAAAAUUCCUGUCUUAGAUUUGUCUAGAUAUGGAUGUAUCUAAUACUAAAAUGCGACUACAUAUAUCCGUAUUUAGACAAAUUUAAGACAAGAAUUUUGGGACGGAGGGAGUAUCUG
rfam:Hordeum vulgare subsp. vulgare, WGS project CAJW01000000 data, contig: morex_contig_2546753